CUUGAUGGUAAGGUAUGUCUUUUUGCUGAUGAUACUAAGAUAUGUAACAGGGUUGAUGUUCCAGGAGGGAUAAGCCAAAUGACAAAUGAUUUAGGUAAACUAGAAAAAUGGUCAGAAUUGUGGCAACUGACAUUUAAUGUGGAUAAGUGCAAGAUAAUGCAUCUUGGACGUAAAAACCCAAGGGCAGAGUACAGAAUAUUUGAUAAAGUUCUAACCUCAACAUAUGAGGAAAGGGAUUUAGGGGUGAUUAUUUCU